UAAAUACAACUAAUCCAAACAUAAUAAAUAAAAAACUCAACUGUUUCAAACAAUUACCAUACCACUAAUACACUUAAAGCCACCAAUUGUAAUCAUAUUAAAACUUAUUCAAGUUUUAGUUAUGAAACUGCACUAAAAAAACAACUAACUUAUGAUUUUACACAUAAAGAUAUAUCAUAUAAUGUAUUAAGAAAUUAUUUUAGUGAUUCAGAAUUACAUUUAUAUUCUAGUUCAUAUAAUGACAAAACAAAAUUAAACAAACAAUUAAAUAAAAAUAAAACGUCAAAUAGUAAAAAUAACUUAUCAAAUAUGAACUUGUUUGGGGAUUCAACCAUGAGUAGAAAAUAUACCGAACAAAAAACAUAAAUGGAAACAAAACGAUGAAACAGGUAAUAACAGAUACAUACAUAUUUGUUGUAAGAUUGUAUACAUUUUAUAACAAAAUAAAAAUUAACUUCUAUACAUAACUAAAAAUAUUGGAAUGUUUGGAUUUUUAGUAUAACUAAAAAAAUGUUCUAUAUAAUAUUGUUGUAUGUUAGAUGCUUAAAAAAAAUAAGAAAAAUAAAAAAAACAAAAAAAAUAAAAAAAAUAAAAAAUCUAUUUUUUAUACAUACUUUUUUAGAUAACUAUCUAGAUAACAAAAGUACGGGACAAUUACUGAAUAAAAUUAUUGAACAUUUAAAUAUAAAUCUGAAAAAGACAUUAAAAAGAUAUAUACAAGAAAUUAACAAGCUGACUAAAAAUAACUGCAACUUAAAUAAUAAACUGGAAACCACUGUUGAACUUAAUGAUGAACAAGCUUUAGAAAUCAGAGAAUUGAAUAUAGAAAUGAACAAAAUUAAAGAAAAAAAUAUAGAAAUGAAUAAAGUAAUCGAAAAUUAUGAGCUAAAUAUGGACAUUCUAAAGAAAGCAAGAAAUGAUCAAAUAAGUGAUAAAAAAACAAAGAGAUGCAAUGGAACAAGAAAUUAAAAAAUUAAAAAACAAGUUAUCCCUGGCAAACACUCUCAAUGACAAAAUACAAAAUGAAAAGAUAAUUUUAGAAGAAACGAUUGAACAUAAAAAGAAUAAAAUUAAAAAAAAAAAAUACA
rnacentral:lncRNA from 1 species